CACGCUGGCCUUGCUAGUCCAGGGACAUCGGCCCCCCCCACCUCCAGUGGUCUCUCCCCUGUGUCAAUGACUCAGUUUUUGCCUAGAGUUCCCACAGCUCUAGGGAAGAGAGGACAGAUGAGGCCCUUUGUUCCUGCAAAUGGGCCUUUCCUGGCAGUGAUGGAGAUCGCCUGCAGUCCAGCCCGCUCCUCCUCUUCAGCUGCAGCCAUUAUCCUAAAGUGGUUUUAUUGAUCUGCUGACUCCCUGUCUCCUGCCUGCUCUCCCUUUCCUCCUCCCUUCCCCACCCCCUGCACCCCAUCCUCAAGCUCCUAAAUGCUCUGUUGCUGGCCUCAUCCAUGCAAGGCUGUUUUUUCAGGGGUGAAGGAUGAUUUUGAAGUUAGAUUAGACAACUGCACUUGCCUCAUGAGAAAGCAGAUAUUCCCUUAGGGCAAGCAUUUUCAGACUAGCAAAGGAUAUACCUCCAUUUACCAACCACACCUUUUCUGGAUGUAGUUCUUUGGUUGUUUUGACUUUUUGUAAGAUGUAGGAAAUAUAGAUGCUAUGAAAGUUCAGUUUCAAAGUUUGCACCUUGGCAAACUAUAGUACAUUUUACAAUGUCAUGAUAAUGCCGCAUUUUAAACAAUUACCAGUCAUAUUCAUCUUAAUACAAUUUACAUGUAAUUAAAGAAAUUUU
rnacentral:lncRNA from 1 species